CCUACCUCUCCCAGUUAAUUCUCCCUACUUUUAGACCAAAGUAUGGCAUCCCCUAACCCCUAUCCGCUAUCCCGUGACCCGCAGCCGCAGCUACCUGCAGCCCAGACCUAUAAUUUCCAGGCAGAGACCUACACCCUGGCCAGAGCCGGAACCAAGCUGGAGCCGAGGUCGUAGCCAAAGCCAUAGCCGGGAUCGGAGGACGCGCAUGCGUCUUUUUAUCAUUUCCUUGCGACUUUCUCGCUCUUCCAUCGAAUAUAUCAACGUUAAUUCGUACAACGUUCAUCAUCGAGAACAAAAAAGAGGUCGAAAACGAAGACGAAAGUUUUAUAAUAUUGUCGAUUAUCGCAAUGAUAAUGCCAACUUAUACCAUUAUCGUUAUUAUUAAUUAACUCGGCAAAUACUCGAAAACGAAGACGGAAAUAGUGCCGGGAAUAAGGACAAGAACAAGGAUAAGAACAAGAACAAAGACGAAAAUAGACGCGAAUACGAGAGCAACGAAAACAGCAAUAAUAACGACAUUUAAUACGUCUCAAGUGUCAGAUAUCACGUUAGUGAAGACGACAAAUGAAAGAAUAGGAAAAAGAAGGAAAAUAAAAACGUGGAUUAGACGACGGAAGAAAGGAAGAAAUAAAGAUACGUUGAUUUUCGAAUAUCGAAAACGAACGAUCAAAGUGUCUAUGGCAUGAUGGUUAUUGAAUUGUUCAAUAUUAGUGAAGAUAUUUAAGUGACAGUUUGAAGAAAAGGAAGAAAAGAUUAUCGAAAAGUGUGUGACAAUUCGUAUCGAAUAGUGAUGCAGUCGCGCGUCAAUCGUGCCCUACUGUUCCUUUGGAUUCCUCGCGCGAUCCUCGCGCGGCGCGCGCGUGCUCCGAACUAUCGCGCAUCGCGCAUUACCCUUCUUUCAGUUUCUUCAUGCUUAUAGUGCUUCUAUUCCCGUUGUCGUCGGCAACAGGUAUAGCAGGUGUGUGUCUGACGUCCGAUAAGACGAUUACAAAAGGAAAUUGAAAGAAGCGAUUGAUACACGAUCGAAAGUAAUUCGAUGAACAUUGAGGAUUAACAUAAGUGUCGUUAUGUUUGCCAAGUCGAAAAGUAGUGGCUCGACACCGAGCGUUCUACUUCCUAAUCCUCUUCAGAAUUUGUACGACGUUGGCAAACAAACGGCUACAGCAGGACCCGAAAACGCCUGGCGUAUAUACAAUGGAUACACGAAAGCGGAUCGAAAGGAAGUUUCGAUAUUUUUCUUUGACAAAAGAUCGGUCGAUAAACUUCACAAGCCGAAGCGGAAAGAAGCGGUUACGGAAAUUUUACGAAACGGAGCACGACAAAUGGAACGAGUUUCUCAUCCAAAGAUUCUGCAGGCAUACAAGGUCGAAGAAUGCGCUGAUAGUUUGGCAUUCGCGUCGGAGCCAGUUCUCGCUAGUCUUGCGAACGUUUUAGCUUAUCAAGAGCAACGAGCGAAUAACGUCGGCCAAUCGUCGACUAACGUAACGAAACAAAUUUCUUCAACCCCUAGUCAUCGUGCUCCGUUCACGAAAGAGUACGAGUUACUCGAUAUAGAGAUCAAAUAUGGAUUGUUGCAGAUCACAGAGGCUUUACUUUAUCUUCACGGAACACGCAAAGUCCUUCACAGGAACGUUUGUCCCGCGAGCAUUAUAAUUACCAAAAGGGGCACUUGGAAAUUGUCAGGUCUCGAAUUUAUCGAAAAAAUGAAGGAGUUGCCAAUGAUAUCGUUGCAACCUUGGACCAAUCGCAUGUCAAAAAUGACGCAACCGAAUCUCGAUUACAUAGCACCGGAAAUACAGCAAAAGAAAGAGGGGGGCUUCUAUAGCGACAUGUACAGCUUUGGUAUGACGAUAUGCGCAAUUUUCAAUCAAGGGCGACCAUUGAUUCAAGCGAAUCAUAACUGUUCCGAGUAUUUAAAACAAUUAGAAAACCUCGAAGAACAAGUUCAUGUGAUAUUACCUUUAGUUCCCCUUCCUCUUCGAGAAGCUGUUUCUCGACUUUUACACAUCGAUCCAGAGAAGAGGCCAACCAUUCAAGUUUUAUCCAUGAUCAAAUAUUUUCAAGAUCCACCCGUAUACGCGCUUCAAUUUCUCGAUGUCAGUAAGAUGAAAGACGCGUUGCAAAAGGAGCAUUUUUAUACAACUACUUUAAAAGGAAUAUUACCUUAUAUACCAAGGAAACUUUGGUAUCAACAUAUUUGGACGUAUCUGCAAACUGAAUUGGAAAGUGAAGAAGUUCAAUCGGCUGUAUUACAACCGGUACUUUAUAUCGUACAAAAUAGUACGCAAGAGGAAUACGAUCAAAUUGUAUUUCCAUCGUUACGAUCGCUUUUCUCGAAUCGUAAAUCGGUUCACGGAACGGUUACGUUGCUGGAAAAUUUGCAUUUGAUAUUAAAAAAGACAUCUCGAGAAUAUAUAGAAAGCGAAGUGCUUCCGAUGUUGUACACAUCCUUUGAGAAUUCAACUACACAAGUGCAGACUGCAGCGUUCGUAGCCGUGUCGAAUGUGACUGAUUACAUACACGAUGAGGCUGUUCGAAACAUCGUGUUGCCGAAAUUACUUCAAGCAUUUGAAAAAAAUUUAGUGGAUUCCCGAAUACUUAUGAACGUGAUACCCUGUAUUUUAAAUCGUUUGGAAAAGCAAAAAAUCAUCGAUUGUAUCUUACCAUUAUUGUUCAAUGUAAAACUUCAAGAACCGGAGAUAAUCGUUCGGGUUGUGAAGAUUUACAGAUUAAUGUUAAACGACAAAAAAUAUGGAUUAUCUGUGAAUUGGAUGGCAACUAGAGCAAUGCCUUCUUUACUACCUCAAACUAUUAACCCAGCAUUGAAUCUCGAGCAGUUUGAACUACUUCUCAAAGUGUUACAAGAUAUGUUGAAUCACAUCGAAAGAAAUCAAAGGAAUCAAUUGACGCUGGAUAAUUUGUCAUUAUCGAGCCCGGAACGGUAUCGAAGUUUGCGACAUCAACACAGUACGGACAAUAUGUACGUUGCCCCCUUUAAUAUACCAAAUCUACGUAUCGAGCAACGUAAAACUUCUUCGGCUGAAGACAUGGCUCGGAAAAAUAGCACGAAUUCGAUGUCGACGACAGUUUCAGCUGAAAACAUGGCAAGAAAGAACUCGAUGAUAACCAUGUUCAGAUGGUUCUCAUCAUCGAACAACGAUAACAGUAAUUUCUUAAAAGUGACGAAUACAUUUACGAGCAGACGGUUAUCGGAUAAUACUUUGAUGACACCGAAAAUACGGGUAGCACCAUCGUGCGAAAGUUCCCCAGGUGCUACACCAGGUGAUGGAUUACCCAUUCGACGACACUCGAGCACCGGUCCUCAAGACCGACGGGGAUCUAACAUAAAUUUAUCGCCCCCCUUGGGUGGAAUGCCGAUUACCAGUAGCAGUGUUCCGUACCUGGUUAGCUCGAGCAUGAAUAGUAUACGCGGCUCGAGACGUCCUUCGGUCUCUUCAACAUCUUCCCAACAAGGACUGUUGCAGCAGGUUGGCUCCAGCAUGGUAAGACAACAACCCCCCAUCUGCCUCAACCUCAAUGGACUACCACCACCAUCACCACCACCACCACAACCACCACCACAACCACCAACACUUUCUCCAUUACUCCAGCUACCGGGACAGUCUUUCCACUGACCCUCCGUCACAGUUAUCAAUUCUUCAAUAAACAAUUCGAUGGUUAAAUCUUUCGUCGACGAUCAAGUUUCGUAGGAUAUUUACAUUAAAAUUAACAACGUAAGGAACAAUUGGUUACCGUCCGUGCUACGAAAGGAGACAUAGAGGAACGAAAAAAAAUAAUUUUAUAACCAUCUCCUGUUAACGAUAAAAUGAUAUAUUCCACUACACUUAUUUACAUAUAUAAUAAAUUGGACCUGAGAACGUCGGUGAAGAUCACUUCUAUAAAUGAGCACGGACUUUGAUUUCUUGUAAAGAAAUCAAACGACUUCAGACCUUUUAAAGUGGCCUAACCUCAUAAAAAUUACAUUAGUUAUAUUAUCUGUGUCAUUAUUCAAGAUUCCAAUAAAAUAUGGACGUGUAUAAAAAUACAUGCACACGUGUACCAUCUGUAAUUGCACGUGUAAUCUAUGGAACAAUUUGCAACGAAUUCAUGAAUUGAAUAAUAAAUGAAAGUAACGCAAUAUAUAAUAGGAAAAUGGGAAUAUAUGUAUGUAUUUUGUAUCGAAAAGAGAAAAAGAGAAACGACUUCUCAUAUUUAUUCUCGCAUUAAGUUUUGUUAUUUUAACUCAACAUCGACUACACGUGCAUGUAUACAGUCAGUCACGAAAGUUUUCAACGUGAGUUCAAUUAACAAAUUGUUUUAUCGAAACAAUAAUUCUUGUAAU